rnacentral:lncRNA from 1 species
CUGGGAGAAGGGAGAGCUGACCCACAUCCUGUCUUGUGAGCCCCAGGAGGAACAGAGUCAUCCAGCCAAUGGGGAUGAGUCCCCGGGGUCAUCUUACGUCCCUGCAGGAUGCCAUGUGCGAGACUAUGGAGCAGCAGCUCUCCUCGGACCCUGACUCGGACCCUGACUGAGGAUGGCAGCUCUUCUGCUCCCCCAUCAGGACUGGUGCUGCUUCCAGAGACUUCCUUGGGGUUGCAACCUGGGGAAGCCACAUCCCACUGGAUCCACACCCGCCCCCACUUCUCCAUCUUAGAAACCCCUUCUCUUGACUCCCGUUCUGUUCAUGAUUUGCCUCUGGUCCAGUUUCUCAUCUCUGGACUGCAACGGUCUUCUUGUG